UCCUCGUGGACUGUCGCCUGUUCUGAAAAGUAGUUGAACCUGCACUGAAAGCUGCAUCUAAAUGCCAGAUGACAUUUGCUAAAUCAUCUGUAUAUGAGCCUUCUGACGAUGAAACUCAGCGCCAGAGGAAGAUGCAUACCAUCCAG